GACGAACGCUGGCGGCGUGCUUAACACAUGCAAGUCGAACGGUGAAGCGCUUUCCUUUUUGGUUGGUGUGGAUGAGUGGCGAACGGGUGAGUAACACGUGAGUAACCUGCCCCCUUCUUCUGGAUAACCGCAUGAAAGUGUGGCUAAUACGGGAUAUUCUGCGCCUGCUGCAUGGUGGGUGUGGGAAAGAUUGUGCCUUUGGGUGUUUUCGGUGGGGGAUGGGCUCGCGGCCUAUCAGCUUGUUGGUGGGGUGAUGGCCUACCAAGGCGGUGACGGGUAGCCGGCCUGAGAGUGUGGACGGUCACACUGGGACUGAGACACGGCCCAGACUCCUACGGGAGGCAGCAGUGGGGAAUAUUGCACAAUGGGCGCAAGCCUGAUGCAGCGACGCCGCGUGAGGGAUGGAGGCCUUCGGGUUGUGAACCUCUUUCGCCAGUGAAGCAGGCCUGCUCCUUGUGGGUGGGUUGACGGUAGCUGGAUAAGAAGCGCCGGCUAACUACGUG
rnacentral:rRNA from 1 species